GGCUCCGCCUCGACCUGCCCGCCCGCCCGGGCGGGCGGAGAAGGGGGAGGGUGGUGGCUGUUGAGGCGCGCGCGCGCUCGCGCCGGGCUCGAGCCGGCGGCAUCUCUCCUCCCCUCAGUCCCGCUCGGCGGCGGCAGCAGCAGCAGCAGCAGGAGCAGCAGCCCGGGUAGUGGUGCCGCGUCCUCCCUCUCGUUCUCUUCCCCGGAGGCACGAUGCAGUUUAUGUUGCUUUUUAGUCGCCAGGGAAAACUGAGACUCCAGAAGUGGUAUGUCCCAUUAUCAGACAAAGAAAAGAAGAAAAUCACAAGGGAACUUGUUCAAACAGUUUUAGCCCGCAAGCCGAAAAUGUGCAGCUUCCUGGAAUGGAGAGACCUGAAGAUUGUCUACAAAAGAUAUGCAAGUCUCUAUUUCUGCUGUGCUAUUGAAGAUCAGGACAAUGAACUAAUAACACUGGAAAUAAUUCAUCGCUAUGUAGAACUCCUUGACAAGUAUUUUGGCAGUGUAUGUGAACUUGAUAUCAUCUUCAAUUUUGAAAAAGCCUAUUUCAUUCUGGAUGAGUUCCUUUUAGGAGGGGAAGUUCAGGAGACUUCCAAGAAAAAUGUUCUCAAAGCCAUUGAACAGGCAGAUCUCUUACAGGAGAGCCAGAACGAAGACUGGGGAGGUUUGUCUGAGGAUAUCUUAUGAUUAAGAGCAAUCUAAGGCAUUAGCCCUUUUGACCCCCAUCUAAAUGAUUGGAAGCAGAGACCCCUCGUAGUGUACUUGAAGAAAUUGGAUUGACAUAAACCUUCACUUCAGCUGAUGACAUCUCAGUGCUUCAUACUGUAAAUGUUCACUGCCUUCAUUGUAAUGUUUAGCUAAUGAUGUAAGAUGCUGUUUGUCAGUAUUACUGUUUUGCUAAGCUGCUUCAUUCAGGCCUACGGGAAAAAUACUCCUUUGAAAAGGGAACAAGAAACUAAAGUUAAAAAAUCAUAAAUGAAAGGGAAUUAGAUUUCAAUUGACUCAGUGUCUCCCUUCACUGCAUUUAUUGGAAGAUUGCAUUUGCCUUCAAUAAGUGUACUGUUUUUUAUAAGCAGACUUGACUUCAGGAAAUAAGUGUAUCAUCAUGACAUAGCAUAUCUAAGUGAAGAGAAACUCCAUGGACAACUCCAGAUGCAAAAUGAUAUGGUGUAGGAAUUGUGUUCAUGCAACCAAAGACUUCUGUUCAUCUACAUUUUAGUCACCACUUGUGAUAAUUCUGCUUGUUUCAGUUGAUGCAUCAAAAUUGGAAGUACCUGUUUACUACUGAAUUUGUCAUUAUACCAAAGAAUCCUGUUAGGAUCUGCAUAUCAGACUGGUAAAAACUGUUAAGGUGAUAUUGCUUUUUGCAGGAAAUUUGCAAACUGAUCAACUCACUAGAAAUGAAGGUGUAUUUAAGUGUAGCUACCUUGAGCAAAACUGUGCAAGUUACUAUACUACAAAGGGAAUGCAUGUAGUAAAAAAUAAAAUAUUAAAAAAUAAAAAUCCAAAUAAGGAAACUAUUUUUUGGUCUGAUGUUAGCUUUCUGUGAACAUAAACACAAAAAGGAGGUAGGCUUUCUGACUGUAUAGAGAGGUUCAUAAUGAAAAUUGGAUACUUUUGAAGAGGGGAAAGGAGGAGCUUUAAAAGAAGGGACUUUUUAUUAUUUUCUGACUCUACAGAUUAAUUUGUAUUUAUUGGUGUUUUAUAGUUAUGCUUUAAUGGGUGUGUAGGUACCUUUAGAAAAAACCCCACACAUAGUAACUGUCAGUGUCAUUUUAACUGCUUCUCUUGACUUACACCUUGAACAUGUGGCACAUCCCUUAUGAAACUUCUGCGUGAUGUACAGUCAAACCAACUAGUUUGCAGUGAGAGCUUUUAAAUAUUAGAUUUGUAUGCUAGAUUCACUGCAAAUCAUGUAAAGUGGUAUCAAGUAAUAUUUUGACACAUGUAGCAGACCUUUGGUAAUUAUAAACUAAACCUGUUUCACUUGAGGAAAACUGAUUUGUGUGUGCUUCUGAGUGUUGAGGAGAUAAGUAGUGCCCCGGUUUGGAGUAGCCGAGUUCUGGGUGUCUGCAUAGUCCCUGAGAAGGUGGGGCUGUUCUCCUCUCCUCCCCCAGUGACUUUGCUCUAGGAGUCAGAGUUUUGGCUUGUUCACUCGAGUAAGCAGUGCCACGUUUUCAGAACUGGGCUUUGGUGUUGCUGUUGACCUAAGCAUUUAGGUAGCCAGCUGGGGAGCUGGCUUGGGCCUUGGUGUGGUGUUGCUCAAACUGAACCCACCAGGACUGGGUUGCCACUUGCCAGCCCCCCAAUCCAGAUCCCUGGUAUAAAUGCUUGUGGCAGCAGAAGGUCCAGCUGGGGCACAGGUGGGUCUUCAAGCUUUGGGGGCAGCGUCAGUGUGAAACCCCUGAACUCUCACAGUGUUAAAAUUUGGUUCCUUAGGCCCUUUCUGGGAUUUAAAUGUAUCAGGUUGCUAGAGACUGUUCUUAACCCAGGGCACUCAAAAGCAGCAGUGUGCGUGUCCAGUGCACAACGUGCAGGGUUCGAUGAGGUUAAAGUGGUAGCAGAAUAGCCCUGUGUGUGAGAUUGAAGUAGUAAAAUGACCUUAAUUUAAGUAAACCUGAAGCAAUUUUAUAUGUAUUAAACACGUUUUUAAAAGUUUACACUGUCACUUGUAUGUGCUUGGCUGGAUUAAGCUUUGUUGUGAUUGUGAUGAAUAAACUGUUUGACCUCUGUCUGUCACAUUGGUUUAGUUGUAAUAAAUGUUCAUUUUUACACCA